UAGAGAAACAAAGGGAGAAAAAGGGAAAACAAGUCCAGUGCAGCCCGGUUUUAUGCACUGCUAAGAUCUGUGGGUCUUCCAGCAUGUGGGCUUGGGCACCACCGCAGCUCUGGCCAUCGCAGCAGGCGGGAUCCAUGCAGACCAGGUCAGCCAGAGACAUUUUGAAGGGAAAGCACGCUUUAAAAGUAAAUAGAGUGAGUCAUGUUGCCCGUUGGCAUAAACGCAAAGCACAUAGGAGCAGGAAGCGUCUUUGUUUUUGUGCACUGGAGGGUGCUUUCAGGUCAGGUUAUCGCCGAGGUACAUUUCUGGCUAGCAAAGUAACGGCUUGCUCUAGCAGCGAGACCAUCCUACCUGGCAGGGGGGAAGCAAUUUCAUGCAGUUCAAUAUCAGAAUAAGAAGAUGAGACGUGUGAGGAUAGCAGCAGCACCACAUGCAAGAGACUGAAUAUGAGUGCCAUGUUAAAUAAAAUAAUUUCUUUGGUGUCUGUACUCUGGUACCAGAGUGCCUUCAUGAUUUAGGGAUGUAACACUCUUGACGUGCUAUACAUGGGGAUUGAGGCCAAGUUUCUCCCUUCAUCCAGGGCAGGUUGUCACACAGGAACCAGGGGAAAGUAUGUUCUGUCCCUCCCAUCCUGCAGAGAUCCCAGAUGGCUGCAGUGUUGGCUGAAGUCACUCUCUCCUUUGUAACCUCUUUCUGAAGACUAGAGGAUACUGGUUCAAAAGCCAGAAGGCUUCUGUGAAACUGCUUGUGUGUCAGGGGGUGCCUGGGAGGCGAGAGUGGGGGUUUUUUGUAUUUUAAAGUAAUAAAGUUUUCCAUCUUUCUCUAGAAUUAAAUCCACUUUCUGUUUAAACAUUUACAGUUCUUUAAUGCGCAUACCUCUGACAUGUCUUACAAACACUUGGAAAUACUGUAGUCUGUGUUUUCCAUAAGCCUUCAGAAAAUCGACUGUUUCAAGGGCUUACUGCUGGACUAAUUUCACAGUCGUGCUGCAAAAAUGGGAAGGUAAGCGGCCCAGCAGAAGAUACAGUAGCCAAAACUCUUAUCUCAAGACCCAUUGCUUGAAGAAUAGCAUCAACUUCCCUUAGUCAAUAAUGAGUCUUAUUUAUAAAUUCAGAUACAAUACAGAAAGGAAGCUUGUUGCACUAUUGUGGAGAUCAAAGUUUCAAUGCGUUUUUUUCUCCUCCUGUUUAGAGAACUGAAGUCAGUUUGCAUGUAUCUGUAUCCCUCCCCUUAUUGCUGAGCCCAGCACAGUUGAUAGCCUUGGGCAUUUUUUUAAAGCUGUUUCUAAAGAUAAACAUUUUGCAAAAAUUCCCAGAAUGCAAGUGCUCAACUUAAGUUACCCAGAGCCGUACUGUUUGUUAGCAGGCUGUUCCUUUAUAGGGGGUUUUAAGUUCCAAUUCGAUGUAUCAUAAAUUAAUAUAUAAUGAGAAACUUCUUCUAUGGUCAAGGGUGGACUCCCUGCCUUACUGAGGUCUGUACAAACAAAACCUCUAUUGAUUUAGUUCAGUAACAUUCAGAGGUUAAUCCCAAAUCUCCUGCUCCUUUUUUAAGAACCAUUCUAUCACUGAAAAAAAUAUGAAUAAAAUUCCAUACACUAAUCAAAACAAUCCCCAAAGUCCCUGAGCACACUCACAUUCCUUAAUCUUCACAACAGCUUUAAAAAGUUGAUUGUCCUAAGUUUUUCAACAGCACUUUGAGAAGCAGAGAGGAUAUGGGUUUUUGUCAAUGUGCAGAAUUCAGUCUGUCUUUUCUCCCAGGUUAUGCUUUGUGAUCUAAAAUAGACAACGCAUGUGUUCCUCACCGUCUACUUGGCUACAGCGGGUAACUGCUCAGCUGCGUGUGUCGUGAAGACAGCUGCCAGCUAGGUGAUUUCUUCUUCUCAUGCAAACAGUAGACGUCUUUUCACUAGACAGGCUAGGAUGCUUUGAUAAUAUGUAAUUCUAGAGAGAAGGA